UCUGCCGCCAAGGGAGUGUGCGCGUCCAUUCAUUAUUCGCAGUUGCUGCUAAUAUGGUGAGUGGCGUCGUUAGUCUUCAGAAUUCCAUCCCUUUUCUGACUUCUUCGACUACACUUGCUCGUAUACUACAUCAUAGAUGGAUGGAUGACAUGUGGUGUUUAUUCUGAUGCACGCAGGGGAGAAUGGUGAAGGUGGGGCCAUGGGGUGGCAACGGAGGGAAUGCGUGGAAUAUGGGACAAGCCGACCACAUUACCAAACUUCGAAUCUAUUACGGAGAUAACAUUGUGGGGUUGGAGAUUACCUACAUUCUUAACGGUAAUCCCCACACCGGCAAAUAUGGAACCACCACCGGCCCAUCCGAGGAGAUCAUCCUCGAGGAGGACGAGUACUUCACUUCUAUCUCCGGAUAUUUUCAUGCAUUAUCCAAUUAUCAGGGACAUGCAAUUGUGAUGUUGCUUACUCUUGAUACUAACAAGGGUGCAUCCAUAAGUGUAGGCAACAAGAUUGGCAGUUCAUUCGCCCUUACUUUAGAGGAGGGGAGUAAGAUUCUGGGCUUCUUUGGGCGAGCUGGUACAGCCAUUGACGCUAUUGGAAUCCGCUGCUCAUUGCCAAACUAAGUGUAUGCACCGGCACUGGCUCGUGUUCCUAUCUAUCGAAUGGUGUAAUAAAUAAGCAACGAUAACAAUUUAUGGUGCUUGCCAUGAUUGUCAUCAUCGUUGUUAUCCUUCUCAAUCGGUGUUGCUUUGAAUAAAUAAUGAAAUGUUUUCGAAUCCACUUUGA